GCGUCAUUAGCUCAGUUGGCAGAGCAGCUGACUCUUAAUCAGCGGGUCCGGGGUUCGAGUCCCUGAUGACGCACAA
rnacentral:tRNA from 1 species